GUGCCAGCCGCCGCGGUAAUACGUAGGGUGCAAGCGUUAAUCGGAAUUACUGGGCGUAAAGCGUGCGCAGGCGGUUAUGUAAGACAGAGGUGAAAUCCCCGGGCUCAACCUGGGAACUGCCUUUGUGACUGCAUGACUAGAGUACGGCAGAGGGGGAUGGAAUUCCACGUGUAGCAGUGAAAUGCGUAGAUAUGUGGAGGAACACCGAUGGCGAAGGCAAUCCCCUGGGCCUGUACUGACGCUCAUGCACGAAAGCGUGGGGAGCAAACAGGAUUAGAUACCCUGGUAGUCCACGCCCUAAACGAUGUCAACUGGUUGUUGGGAGGGUUUCUUCUCAGUAACGUAGCUAACGCGUGAAGUUGACCGCCUGGGGAGUACGGCCGCAAGAUUAAAACUCAAAGGAAUUGACGG
rnacentral:rRNA from 1 species